UCUUUUUCAAAGAAGAAGCCAACAAUUUUUUUUUUUUUAGCCAGCCACCUGCAAACACGUCAUUAAUGACAUGUUGAAUGAAUGAAUGAAUGAAUGUCAACAUAAAGGAUUUACAUGUCCAGGCUCAACAACUCCUACAAAGUGGACUUUGGGAUUAAACAGAAGAUCCGACUUUGUCUAAGUUUUCCUGGAGAAGGACUGAGCACAUGUGCUUCACUUAACAACAAAAGAAAAGGAUGUGGCCCCCGGGCUGGAGUUUGACACUUUUGAUGGAGGGGUGGCGGACCCCCUGUUGAAAAAUGACUGAGUGGACUCAUGCGGACCAACCACUACAGCAGUGACAUUUUUAGGUCAGCCCUCGCUCACUUUCAUCAUCAUGGCGCCGCCGCCGCCGCCGCCAUGCCUUCACGCACAAGGUGAAGUCAAAUUCCCCCUCAAGGGGGGAAGUGAUCUCCCGCCAUGUUCCCACACACACUUCUCACCCGGCUCUUGUUUGAAGAGGGCGAGACUGGAGUUGGAGCCGACAGCUGUCACACGCACACACACCUGUGCCAAGGUGCGACACACACACACACACACACGUAUUCGUUACCUUCUUGAGAAUAAUGGCUACCUCUUACAACAUGAAUAAUAUAUACAUACUAUGCACAUAUAAAAAAAGCUUCUUGUGAAAAA